UGGGGAAUAUUGCACAAUGGGCGCAAGCCUGAUGCAGCCAUGCCGCGUGUAUGAAGAAGGCCUUCGGGUUGUAAAGUACUUUCAGCGGGGAGGAAGGCGAUAAGGUUAAUAACCUUGUCGAUUGACGUUACCCGCAGAAGAAGCACCGGCUAACUCCGUGCCAGCAGCCGCGGUAAUACGGAGGGUGCAAGCGGUAAUCGGAAUUACUGGGCGUAAAGCGCACGCAGGCGGUCUGUCAAGUCGGAUGUGAAAUCCCCGGGCUCAACCUGGGAACUGCAUUCGAAACUGGCAGGCUAGAGUCUUGUAGAGGGGGGUAGAAUUCCAGGUGUAGCGGUGAAAUGCGUAGAGAUCUGGAGGAAUACCGGUGGCGAAGGCGGCCCCCUGGACAAAGACUGACGCUCAGGUGCGAAAGCGUGGGGAGCAAGCA
rnacentral:rRNA from 1 species